CCCUUAGAUGUUCUGGGCCGCACGCGCGCUACACUGACGAUGGCAACGAGCUUUUCCUUCGCCGAAAGGUGUGGGUAAUCUUUUGAAACAUCGUCGUGCUGGGGAUAGAUCAUUGCAAUUUUUGAUCUUGAACGAGGAAUUCCUAGUAAGCGCGAGUCAUCAGCUCGCGUUGAUUACGUCCCUGCCCUUUGUACACACCGCCCGUCGCUACUACCGAUUGAAUGGUUUAGUGAGGACUCCUGAUUGGCGCCGCCGCCCCGGCAACGGAGCAGCGGACUGCCGAAAAGUUGUUCAAACUUGAUCAUUUAGAGGAAGUAAAAGUCGUAACA
rnacentral:rRNA from 1 species